CCAGAAGUGUCUUGGAAAGCAGUGCAGCAGUGAAGAGUGUCGCCAGAAGUAAGCGACUUCACUUUUACUGGUUGCCAGUGGGCUGACAGAUCGAGAAUACUGCAGGCAAUGUCAAGAGUAUGGCGCCAGGGAAACAAACCAUCUCUUGUUAUCUUGUCCUACAUGGACAAGGCUACGUUUUAAGCAUUAGAGGGUAGAGGUAUCGAUAGUAAGGCCACAGAGUCUGUUGAAAUUCUCGUCAAGCGCAGGCAUCCUAAGGGAUGACUUCUCCUCAUGGUCCUCGUAGCUGAACUCCAUCUGUUAUCACAAGAGACCAAAACUGGUCUAUCCCUAACUGAAUAGCCUACCAAGCUAACUUAACCUACAUCACUCAUUGACAAAACGGUAUGGACAGAUAGCCUCAUGUUUUUGGAAAUUUCGACAUUCGUGACCGGGAUGUUAUGGUGUUGCAAACAACAUUAAGGUAAAAAAAGCAAUGAUAUUUUGAUUUGAAAUAGAAGAUUAAGAAAGAAAAAUCUCAAAAUAUUUGUAUACAGUUUUCUAGAUUAUACGUUGAAAUCUAUUCAAUUA